rnacentral:rRNA from 2 species
GAAGGUUACUAAGACUGGAUAGGAAACAAAAAGGCAUCUUUUUGUUUUUAAAAGACCUUCUUACGAAGGUAUGCUUAAAGAGGGGCUUGCGCCACAUUAGUUAGUUGGUAGAGUAAAAGCCUACCAAGACGAUGAUGUGUAGCUGGACUGAGAGGUUGAACAGCCACAUUGGGACUGAGACACGGCCCAAACUCCUACGGGAGGCAGCAGUAGGGAAUUUUCGGCAAUGGAGGAAACUCUGACCGAGCAACGCCGCGUGAACGAUGAAGUAUUUCGGUAUGUAAAGUUCUUUUAUUGAAGAAGAAAAAGUAGUGGAAAAACUAUAUUGACGUUAUUCAAUGAAUAAGCCCCGGCUAACUAUGUGCCAGCAGCCGCGGUAAGACAUAGGGGGCGAGCGUUAUCCGGAAUUAUUGGGCGUAAAGGGUGCGUAGGCUGUUAGAUAAGUCUAUAAUUUAAUUUCAGUGCUUAACGCUGUCUUGUUAUAGAAACUGUCUUGACUAGAGUGAGAUAGAGGCAAGCGGAAUUCCAUGUGUAGCGGUAAAAUGUGUAAAUAUAUGGAGGAACACCAGAAGCGUAGGCGGCUUGCUGGGUCUUUACUGACGCUGAGGCACGAAAGCGUGGGUAGCAAACAGGAUUAGAUACCCUGGUAGUCCACGCCGUAAACGAUGAGUACUAAGUGUCGGGGUAAAACUCGGUACUGAAGUUAACACAUUAAGUACUCCGCCUGAGUAGUACGUACGCAAGUAUGAAACUUAAAGGAAUUGACGGGACUCCGCACAAGCGGUGGAUCAUGUUGUUUAAUUCGAAGAUACACGAAAAAUCUUACCAGGUCUUGACAUACUCUGCAAAGCUAUAGAAAUAUAGUGGAGGUUAUCAGGGAUACAGGUGGUGCAUGGUUGUCGUCAGUUCGUGUCGUGAGAUGUUAGGUUAAGUCCUAAAACGAACGCAACCCUUGUCGUUAAUUGCCAGCACAUAAUGGUGGGGACUUUAACGAGACUGCCAAUUAAACAUUGGAGGAAGGUGAGGAUUACGUCAAAUCAUCAUGCCCCUUAUGAUCUGGGCUACAAACGUGAUACAAUGGCUGUGACAAAGAGUAGCUGAAACGCGAGUUUUUAGCCAAUCUCAAAAAAGCAGUCUCAGUUCGGAUUGAAGUCUGUAACUCGACUUCAUGAAGUUGGAAUCGCUAGUAAUCGCGAAUCAGCAUGUCGCGGUGAAUACGUUCUCGGGGUUUGUACACACCGCCCGUCAAAC